GACGAACGCUGGCGGCGUGCUUAACACAUGCAAGUCGAACGGUAAGGCCCUUCGGGGUACACGAGUGGCGAACGGGUGAGUAACACGUGGGUGAUCUGCCCUGCACUUCGGGAUAAGCCUGGGAAACUGGGUCUAAUACCGGAUAGGACCACUGCCUGCAUGGGUGGUGGUGGAAAGCUUUUGCGGUGUGGGAUGGGCCCGCGGCCUAUCAGCUUGUUGGUGGGGUGAUGGCCUACCAAGGCGACGACGGGUAGCCGGCCUGAGAGGGUGACCGGCCUCACUGGGACUGAGAUACGGCCCAGGCUCCUACGGGAGGCAGCAGGGGGGAAUAUUGCACAAUGGGCGCAAGCCUGAUGCAGCGACGCCGCGUGGGGGAUGACGGCCUUCGGGUUGUAAACCUCUUUCAGCACCGACGAAGCGCAAGUGACGGUAGGUGCAGAAGAAGGACCGGCCAACUACGUGCCAGCCGCCGCGGUAA
rnacentral:rRNA from 1 species